GCCGUAAACAUGAAUGUCUGUGAAAUUGGUUAAAAUUUGCGGGAAGGAUGUUAAGGGAUUGAUUGAUAGGGGUAGUGAUGUAAAUAUAGUUUCAGAAAGGUUGGUUUUUGACGUAGGUACAUAUUACAACUUUUGUAAAAGAAAGUGUAACCUUCGUCGAACUUGGUGAUAAACGGAUAAAUUCCCUUUGAAUCUAUGAAACUUAAUGUUGAGUUCGAUGGACAGUGUUUCAAAACAACCUUCAUAAUGUACCACAUGACGUAAUACCGUAUAAUGUACUUUUACGGCAAGAGUUUUUGUCGAAUGCUGUAAGUAAUGUUAAACAGGGGUUCAGUUAUGAUCAUGCCACAAAAGGAUCAGCAAUAAGACAGUCUACACUCGAAACUACACUCCGACUAAAGUUACAGAGGCACCCAUCAAAAUGAAAAUUGUAUUAACCAGGACGUACCAGUAGCGCAACGCCUCCGGAGGUUCGGAAGUCGAUAAGAAGAUUGAAAAUACAUUACUUUGCGGCACUCGCUACACCAACAAAUUUACUGAAGAUUAAUCAGAUAUUCCAAUUUACUGAAUAUGAAAGAGAUACAUCAAACUCUUAACCAGUAUUCAAAAUUUAUCAUCUAGAUUUACCCACGUAACUGCAUACAGAUGCAUCAUUGCAUGCCCACGACGCUGAACUACACCCGGUUUACUACUCAAGUAGAAAAAUGACAGAUAGAAAAAAUAUACAAAUUACGAACUAGAAGUUGUAACAGUGCUAGAAGGUGUUAAAAAAUUCCGUAAAUAUCCUAGGAAUCCCUUUCAAGAUAGUUAAAAAUUGUUCCACUUUUGAGAUGACACUACGUAAGAAGGACUUAGCCACAUGGGUUGCAAGAUGGGCUUUAUUAACAAGACUAUGACUAUACAGUAGAGCAUCGAUGAGGGUCCAAGAUGAGAGACAUUGUUGCAUUAAGUCGAAGUGCCCAGUUGUCAGUGAUAAUGAGAAAAAGACAGAUGCAUAAUCAACUCAGAAUUGCACAAGAAAAUGAUGAAGGACUGAAGGCCAUUAUGGAAAUUUUGAAGUGUAAUACCUAAAGCAAUGGAAACAUAAAUAUUAAGAAGAGUGCAUGGAGUUGGACAUUUUGACAAAAGAAAGAUUGAUUUAGUAAACAAAGAUUAUUUUAUCAAAGAUUUAAAUAAGAAAGUAGAAGACUUUGUUGUAACAUGUAUACCUUGUGUUUAAGCUACCAAGAAGGAGGGAAAACAGUAAGGAUUUUUGAACCCGAUAGAGAAAGAAAAUGUGCCUCUACAUACAAUUCAUAUUGACCACAUAGGGUGAAUGACUUACUUAACAUAAAAUUUGUGACGUAAAGUUUUUCUUUUUGUUUAACAUUUAUUCAAAGUGCCUAUGAAUGUACUUAUUAGGUAUAAUAUUUUCUCUUUAUGUUAGAUUUAAGAGCUAUUUAAAGUAUUACAUUGUAAUGUACAUGGAGCUAGGGACUGGCCAUGGCCAGAUGUGGGAUCGGAAUGUUAAGAAUAAGUGAAAGGGAUAACGAAUGAUGUGAGCAUAAUGUAUGAAAGAGACAAGAUAUUAUAAUUUUUAUUGUACAUUGAUUGGCUGCUGAUGAUAACAUAGUGGUGUUUAAUACUGGUGCAUUCC